CCUACGGGGGGCUGCAGUGGGGAAUAUUGGGCAAUGGGCGCAAGCCUGACCCAGCCAUGCCGCGUGAGUGAAGAAGGCCUUCGGGUUGUAAAACUCUUUCAGAUGGGAAGAUAAUGACGGUACCAUCAGAAGAAGCCCCGGCUAACCUCGUGCCAGCAGCCGCGGUAAUACGAGGGGGGCAAGCGUUGUUCGGAAUCACUGGGCGUAAAGCGUACGCAGGCGGAUCAGUAAGCUAGAGGUGAAAUCCCGGGGCUCAACCUCGGAACUGCCUUUAG
rnacentral:rRNA from 1 species